GAGCUCCGGAGCCCGUCAGUUCAUCCCGCUUCGGCACCAGGGCCAGCCGGAGGUCAAGUCGGGUUGCUGAGGGUUGUAGCCACCGUGUCCUCACGGUGAAAAGCGUUUAGUCGGACUCGCCUUGUUUUAUUGAUGGUGCUCUCCUAGUCCAACUCCGGAUGCUGCUGACCCCCUUUGCUUCCAGGGGUGGCUCGCGUUUAGCCGGCUGUGAUCCUGGCACUUUACAGCACAGCUGUUCCCCAGCCAGUCAUUUCCCAGCCUGUGUUGUGCAAGGGGCUGCUCCUUCCCAAAUGCAGGUUUGCGUUUGCCUUUUUGGAGUGUUGACGGGUUUGUGUUGCCGAGUCUUUCCGGCCUGUCUAGGUCCUCUGUUCAUGAGGAUAAUGAUUGGUCCAAAGUUUGAUUCCCCCUGCAAACUUGAUGUGACUAUACUUCAGGUCACUGUUAGAGAUACUAAAUAGAACAUGGCCCAGGAUAAAUCCCAGCAGUACUCCAUUUAUUACUGGCCUUCAGGUACUGCCCUACAAGCCCUGUUAUCUGAACAGUGGUUACCCAUCUAGUUGGCCACCCAGUACACCAUCAUGCUUGGGAAGAAUUGAGCAUGUUCUUCAGGUUCCUUCUUUGAAGACUAUCCCUGAUUUUACUUCCUGUAUUUCUGUCCUUUUGCAUUGGAGUGCUGUCAUAAGUUUCCUGUUUAGCCAGGCCAGUCUCCUGAUGGAUCUACUUGUUUUGCUGAGUAUUCAGGAGGAGCUAUUUGUAUGAUUGGAGGAGGUUGUCCUUGAAGACCUGCUGCCAGAUUUCCUGAGCUCCUUUGCCCUUCAGAGCUGCCUCCCAUGGGAUCCUGCCCACUGGUUCUCUGAAUAAAUCAGAGUCUGUCUCAUCGACUCCAGGAACUGUAUUUUGCCGCUCAUUUUCCUCAUACACUCUGUCUUGAGCAUGGCUAUUUCCAAAUCACUACCAUUGGAGCAACCACUGAUUAUCACGUCAAACCAUUUCUUCCUCAUGUGUGACUAAUAAAGGCAGAGCUCCUGCCUCUCCAGUUUAGAAAUGCAUUGACUGACUACAUGGAAAUAGCUUAAUUGCAAAAUGCUUAUUCCAUUGAGGUCCAUGCUGGAUAAGUACAUUUUUCUGAGAUAAAAUCUAGCCUGGUAUUAUUUUGGUCUCAUUCUCACAGUGCUGUGUAUGUCCUGGCAGCUUUGGUUGUCUGCAUUUGUCACACAGGUAAGCUGCUCUCUGGAUAACACAGCUAUGCAUAGCCAGGGCUUAAAUAUGUAUGAAAUAAGGAUUCUUAGUCGUUUACUCUUAUCUAGAUUUUUUUCCUCCUCUUUGCCUUUCUAUGUAUGAUUUUAUUCCUUCUCAUCAGAUGUCUUCCAACAAAAUUUGUUGCUCCAUCAGUGUGGCCAGUGCAAAGAGAAACUAAAAUACCCUAGUUUCUUGGCAAGCUGCUUUAUGUAGUGGUUUAUAUUUUCUUUCUGUUGUUAGUGUUUUUGGAGCAAUAUAAGAAUAGUUGAUGGCAUCAAGACUUAACCAUACAGGAAAGAACUAUACAGACAUACCCUGAUUUUAAAGAGUGAAAAAAAAACAUCCUGGAAAAUGGAAAUUUUCCUUUCCUAUUGUGUUUUUUGAACAAAACCAAAACCAAAUCAAAACAAAAAAGAAACUGGCUAAAAAAUAGAAGAGCUGUCCUUUGUUGCCAUGUCGUAUGAAGUACUGAUUAGAGAAAUUACUGAAGGUGAGGAACACGCAGGGUAGCCAAGCAGGGCAGACUCAUUAAAGCCUUUUCAGUACUGCUGAAAUUUCUGCAUGUGAUACUAGCUGUGGUGCUGUAUAUUCUGUCUAUUAGCCUUGCCUCUAUCUUUGCACAUUUUAGGGCUCCCGUAUUUUAAUAAAACAUCAACAUAUUAAUGUGACGUUAAAACAAAAUAGAAAAAGUCAGAUGACUGGAACAGCUCUCUGAAAAUGAGCCAGUCUAGUCCUGUAGAUAUGACUGAACAGCAUGUUUGAACACUGACUUUACUGGGUCAAUAUAGCAUUAAUAGGAUAAAACUGCAGGGACUAUUAUUAGUGACUCAGAUUUGAAUUUUUCACAUAUCAGUCUCAUCCAAGUACAUUUUUCUGAAAAAGUUUUGGUCUGACAUGACUAAAUUUUACCAGAUGUGGUUUAAGUGACUUAGUCUAAUCAUUUUCUCUUGAAAGGUGCUUGGCAUAGCUAAUAGAGCUGUCUCGAAAAAAUUAAGUUAAUCUGUUUAUAAGAAAUAUUUCAGAUUAAUACAGCAUGCAAGGAAUAUGAACUAUAAAAGAGUGCACCUUUAAUUUAGCAGUGUCAUAAAUUUACAGUUACUCCUGCAAGGAAAUCAGGUUUGUUACUUUUAUCGGUGUUAUUGCUGUACACUGUCCUGCUGUAGCUCUCAAUUUAACUUUUUGGAUCAUGAAAGUAUGUAUUUUUCUUUAAAAAAAAUUGUGUCACUUAUUUAAAUGCUAAGAUGUAAAAUAAUUUCAAUACGUUUUAUCUCAUUACUUGUUUUUUUAUAUGCCUAGUUUUUUAUUUUCACAUAGCAAAAUGUGCUACUGUUUCUGCUGUUAAGAGGUCUUUUAGGUUUAAGGUUAUUCAAGUUUCAUUUCCUGGCUUGUAUUCCUCCCGACUAUUUGAUGGCAAUACCAAAAUCCCAGAUCUCUGUAAGUGUAGUUCUUGCAACAAAACCAGCACAAAGAGUAUGCAGAGACUAAGACAGGACUAAGAAAUGCUUUACAAGAGAGCUCAGAAGAGAAUCUCCCCACUAGAGCAGAGUUCAAGCUCUGUUUUCUGUGCAAUGCUGGAGUCAGCCUCCAGCUGUAACCUGACUCAGACACGAGGCUUUGGUGCAAGUCAUUCACAGGCACCAAGAGGGCUGUUCCAAAGGACUGGACAAAGCUGCCAAGCUUUCUUGCUGUAAUGCUUUGCCUCACAUCCCUUCUAGGGGCUUAACAAUGACAGGAACACUGCCUCAAGUACCUUUUUGUCACACUGCAGUUAAUCUGUCCUGUCUCUUGUUACUCUUAUUGAGAAGUAGGUGGACUUUUUUGGGUGUAUGGAACUGACAGGAGAUGUAGAAAAAUUUACAUUGGAAGGAAAGCCAAUGAAAGGAUAUGGAUUAAUCAAACGUAUAUAUACACAGACAACAGAUUUUGGGUUUGUUAGCAUAAAUUUCUAUUUUAUAUUAAGACUAGAAUCCUUUCUAGUAUUUUUUCAGAGGAAAAGUAGUAUCUUGUCAGGUUUAUAGUGUGAUAAAAUUAACACAAGGAAAGAAACAUGUUCACAAUAUAAAAUCUUCAGUAGUAACUCCAGUUUUGUUGGUAUUAUUUUUUUUGUACCAAAUCCUCUAUAGAGUAUACAAAAAGAGCAGAAUAAAUAAGAGCCUUUAAGUACCAGUUCAGGAAGAAAACAGUCUUGUCUGGAGUACAUGUCAUCUGCUUUAACAGCAUCAUUUCAACAGUCUGCAGUAUGAACCAAAAAGCCAGAGUAAUACAAAUCAAAUACCUGGGACAUUGAAACAAUAUUUUCUUCUUAGGUAAUAUUCAGUAAUAAACACUUAUAAAAACACAUUUCUCAUCAUUAACAUGAUUUUUAAUAUAUAGACUGGUGUCAUAAGUAGUCUAAAAUAGAGGUUCUUCAUUGAGUAAUUUUCAUUUGGCUUUUUAUGCCACUGAAAAAAAUCUGUAGAGGGGCAUAAAAAUUGCGACCAGCAAAUAUCCCCAUGGAUAAAUCUCCUUAAAACAGCUAUUUUUCUUACAACACAAUUACACCAUCAUCAAUAGCUUGCUGUUCAGGAAUACAAUUUACUACCAGGAUAAGUGUUUCAGGAACUGUUGUCAUUAUGUUUGUGGAUCAGUUCCUGUUUGUCUGCUAAGAUGAGCAAGGUAGCUGGAAUGCUGGAAUGGUUUCAUGUAGACAGUUGAUGGCAAUGUUAAUCAACUGACCACUGCCCCCAUUCCUCCAGCUACUGUGCUUUACUUCUUGGAGCUUGCAGAAACAAGGAAUUAUUUUCCUGUUGCCAAAUAAUUAGUACUGCUGCACAUUCAGAUUUUUUAAAAUUUAGUAUUUAUUACAUAUACUAAGGUUUUCAGUUCAAGUUCUAUCAUGGCUAAGCACUAUAGCUGUAUCUACACUAAAAACUUGGCCAGCAAUCAGAAAGGUGUGAUCCUCAUCAGUACCACACUGCAAAUGCUAUUAUAUGAGGGAAGAAACCCUCAAACUCUCCUUUCUGCAGAAACACACUUAGAGUUUUGCUGGUAUGAAUUAAAGCUACACCAUGGGAAUACCCUGCCAGUAUUCCAUGCAAGCAGUUCCCUAGCAGUGCUCCUAAGGGUGCUGUAUUGUCAAUCCAACUUUUAUUUCCUUUUUUUUUCCUCCUUCCUUUCAGCUGUUGUGGUUGCAUAGCUCCUUUCUUUUUGUAUCAUCAUCUUCAAAGCAGCAUACCACAUUUUCACAAAAGGAAAUAUUCAAAAUUGUAAUUUAAAAAAGUUUAUUACAGUGAAUCAGCAAAUAGUAUUUAUUUCCAACAAAGCCACAUUAUCUUUUUGUCUUCUUUCAUCUAGAUUUAGCUGUAUUUAAUAGUAGCAAAAAUGGGACUAUAAAAUGUAGAAUGGAGAUGAAAUGAAAAAGUUGAGAUGUAAUCCGAGGACUAUUCAAACACAAUGUACUUCCAGCUCUUCUACCCAAAAUGCAGCCAAUUCAUGUACAUUUAUGCCUUACAUUUUCAUAUAUUUGCUAUAGAAUGCAAAUAUUUUAUACUCAAAUAAAAACCUCCUACAGGAUAGGAAUAUCUUUAAUUGCAUAAUGUGGAUUCUGUUAAGGAAUUUAUAAUAAUACAACCUCUCCAUUUACAGACCAGGUGACAUUAACUGGAAUCAUGGAAAUGGCAAUCAAAUGCACUAGAUGGGAUGAAUAAUGGAGAUACUGACUUUCUAUCUACUGAUACUCCAACCCACCAGGUGAUUAUUCAGUUUAAUAUUAAAUACUCAGUCCAGCCUCAAAAUAAUGAAGUUUUAAAAUCCCACGUUAAGUUUACUCAACAGUGGAAAACUGAUGCUGGAGCAUCAUCUAGUCUUCAGAUACACUUCAAUGCCUUAAAAAAAAGUUUUAAAGGACCUAGCAAUUUAGGAAUCUAACUGUAAGUAUUAUCCAAUAAUGGUCCCUGCAAAUUUCAAAUCCACGAGCUUACUUCAAGAAAGCAGUCAGAUAUCUGGAAAUCUUGUUAGUCCAUAAUAGGAACAAGACAUUAAGUUUCCCUGGCUUUUAAUUUCUCCAUUAGUUUAAGAUCCAAGGAACUGUGGGAUUUGUUCACUUGGUAGAAACAAAAAAAAAAAAAAACGUUACUUUUUAAACCCUGAUUUACCAAAAAAAUAAAAGCCCAGAGAUUUGCAGACAUAAUAAAAUUUAUUUAAAUUCCAUGCAUUACGGUAGCUACAAGUGUAGUCAUAUGAAACUGAAGGACAAUAAUUUCUUCUGUCCAUACAAUGUAGCUGUAAGUGAAAUGAAUGGGAGUUCCACAGUUACAAAGAAACAAACAAAACAAAAAAAAAA
ensembl:lncRNA